rnacentral:misc_RNA from 1 species
UACGGAGGGUGCAAGCGUUAUCCGGAUUCACUGGGUUUAAAGGGUGUGAAGGCGGGUAUUUAAGUCAGUGGUGAAAUCUCCGAGCUCAACUCGGAAACUGCCAUUGAUACUAUUUAUCUUGAAUAUUGUUGAGGUAGGCGGAAUAUGUCAUGUAGCGGUGAAAUGCUUAGAUAUGACAUAGAACACCGAUUGCGAAGGCAGCUUGCUAAACAAUGAUUGACGCUGAGGCACGAAAGCGUGGGGAUCAAACAGG